GGAGGAAAAGAAACCAACAGGGAUUGCCUUAGUAGCGGCGAGUGAAGCGGCAAAAGCUCAAAUUUGAAAUCUGGCACUUUCAGUGUCCGAGUUGUAAUUUGAAGAAGGUAUCUUUGGGUCUGGCUCUUGUCUAUGUUUCUUGGAACAGAACGUCACAGAGGGUGAGAAUCCCGUGCGAUGAGAUGACCCAGACCUAUGUAAAGUUCCUUCGAAGAGUCGAGUUGUUUGGGAAUGCAGCUCUAAGUGGGUGGUAAAUUCCAUCUAAAGCUAAAUAUUGGCGAGAGACCGAUAGCGAACAAGUACAGUGAUGGAAAGAUGAAAAGAACUUUGAAAAGAGAGUGAAAAAGUACGUGAAAUUGUUGAAAGGGAAGGGCUUGAGAUCAGACUUGGUAUUUUGUAUGUUACUCUCUCGGGGGUGGCCUCUACAGUUUAUCGGGCCAGCAUCAGUUUGAGCGGUAGGAUAAUUGCGCUGGAAUGUGGCACUGCCUCGGUAGUGUGUUAUAGCCAGUGUCGAUACUGCCAGCUUAGACUGAGGACUGCGGCUUCGGCCUAGGAUGUUGGCAUAAUGAUCUUAAGUCGCCCG
rnacentral:rRNA from 1 species